UACGGAGGGGGCUAGCGUUGUUCGGAAUUACUGGGCGUAAAGCGCACGUAGGCGGCUUUGCAAGUCAGAGGUGAAAGCCCGGGGCUCAACCCCGGAAUUGCCUUUGAGACUGCAUCGCUAGAAUUGUGGAGAGGUAAGUGGAAUUCCGAGUGUAGAGGUGAAAUUCGUAGAUAUUCGGAAGAACACCAGUGGCGAAGGCGACUUACUGGACACAUAUUGACGCUGAGGUGCGAAAGCGUGGGGAGCAGACAGG
rnacentral:rRNA from 1 species